CUGGCUGAUUCUGCCAGUAGUCAUAUGCUUGUCUC
rnacentral:rRNA from 1 species